rnacentral:rRNA from 1 species
AUGACGAUAAUUCAUCAAGACCUCAAGCCGAGCAACAUCCUGCUAGACUCAGAGAUGAACCCAAAGAUAGCAGAUUUUGGAAUGGCAAGGAUCUUUGGAGGCAAUGAGCAACACGAGCGUACCAAACAUGUAGUUGGGACAUAUGGUUACAUGUCACCUGAAUAUGUGAUGGAGGGAAUCUUUUCAUUGAAGUCUGACACCUACAGCUUUGGUAUUUUCUUGCUGGAGAUUGUAAGUGGAUUAAAGAUCAGCUCACCUCAUCAUCUUGUAAUGGAUUUCCGGAAUCUCAUAGCAUAUGCAUGGAACCUAUGGAAAGAUGGAAAAGCAAUGGAUUUCAUGGAUGCAACACUCACGGAGAGCUACUCUCGUGAUGAAGUGUCAAAGUGCAUCCACAUUGUAUUGAUGUGUGUGCAGGAUAGCCCCAAUGCUAGGCCACACAUGUCAUCGGUUGUGUCCAUGUUGGAUAACGAAGCCAUGCCUCGUGCAAUGCCGAAGCAACCGAUGUAUUUUUCACAAAGAACGUUUGAAGGCUUGGAAAUGUCUACCAAUGGUGCUAGCCUUACAACGCUAGAUGGUCGCUGA